rnacentral:lncRNA from 12 species
AUGAAACUUAUCACUGACAACUACGAGGAUGACCAUUACCACCCUCACGCUCCACCUCCCCACAUGCAACCUCAACCAAUUCAUCCUCAACCCCAACCCCAGCCUCCGUACCCACAUCCCCAACACCCCCACCAGCCUCCUUACCCACACGUGCCCCAUCCCCAACACCCACAGCCUCCACCCCACCACCCUCAACACCCGCAGCAGCCACCACAGCCUCAGUACCCCCACCCACAACACCCACAACACCCACAACACCCCCAGCAUCCGCAACCACCCGGCCCACACCAGCACCCACCUAGACCCCAGCCACCCCAUCCUCAACACCCUCAUCCCGGGGUCCCUCCACAGCAGCACCCCCACGGCCCUCUGCCUCAGCAGGGCCCCCACUCUCAGCCCAUGCCACACCCGCAGCAGCACCCCCAUCAUCCCCCGCACCCCGGCCCACAGGGCCCACACCCUCGCCACCCUCCACCACACCAUCGGGGUCCUGGCCGUGGACCGCCGCAUCCCGGACACCGACCCGCUCCAGACCAGACAAUUCAGUCACUAAAGGAGGAGCACAGCCAUGCCAUACAGAUGAAAUUCUACAUUGUUCACUUGGCCAGUCUUUACCUACAAUCAGAUUCAUUCUUUUGGAUGGGGCCCCAUUUUUUCCAUGCAUUAAGGAAAGAGGCGGAGCAUUAGUUUGAGUGGGAGGGCCAAAGCUGGAGAUGGCCACCUGAGCAGGUAAAUACUAUUAACAAAAGUACUAACACUUAUUAACUUUAAUUUUUUAUUUACAGUUUUCAUAUCAUACAGUACCAUUGUAGUAUAUUUCCAGCAUCUUCCGUAACAUUACCAUUUAUACCAAAAGGCGAGUUAAUAAGUUAAACAACUGAUAUUUUUCCAUCAAAAAAGUCAUCAGCAUAUCAUAACAUAAUAUAUAUAUAUAUAUUUAUAAACAAGCGGAGUGAUACAAAAUUGUGAAAGCGUGUUCCUUUAGUGAUACCAGUACGAUAUCUCACGGUUCUCAACAAAUCAGAUGUGAGUACAAGAACAAACUGUUGUAU